ensembl:snRNA U6 U6 spliceosomal RNA
CUGUCUUUUUCUUCAGCUUUGUUCAUAAUAAAUACAAUAUAGAGAAGAUUAGUAUAGCUCGUGAGGAAGGAUGACCUUCGAAUUCAUGAAAUAUUCCAGAUUUUG